GAUGAACGCUGGCGGCGUGCCUAAUACAUGCAAGUCGAGCGAACAGAUGAGGAGCUUGCUCCUCUGACGUUAGCGGCGGACGGGUGAGUAACACGUGGAUAACCUACCUAUAAGACUGGGAUAACUUCGGGAAACCGGAGCUAAUACCGGAUAAUAUAUUGAACCGCAUGGUUCAAUAGUGAAAGACGGUUUUGCUGUCACUUAUAGAUGGAUCCGCGCCGCAUUAGCUAGUUGGUAAGGUAACGGCUUACCAAGGCGACGAUGCGUAGCCGACCUGAGAGGGUGAUCGGCCACACUGGAACUGAGACACGGUCCAGACUCCUACGGGAGGCAGCAGUAGGGAAUCUUCCGCAAUGGGCGAAAGCUUGACGGAGCAACGCCGCGUGAGUGAUGAAGGUCUUCGGAUCGUAAAACUCUGUUAUUAGGGAAGAACAAAUGUGUAAGUAACUAUGCACGUCUUGACGGGACCUAAUCAGAAAGCCACGGCUAACUACGU
rnacentral:rRNA from 1 species